rnacentral:rRNA from 1 species
CAGUCGCCGCGGGAAUACGGAGGGCGCGAGCGUUACCCGGAUUUACUGGGCGUAAAGCGCACGUAGGCGGAUCGAUCAGUCAGGGGUGAAAUCCUGGAGCUCAACUCCAGAACUGCCUUUGAUACUGUCGAUCUCGAGUCCGGAAGAGGUGAGUGGAACUCCUAGUGUAGAGGUGGAAUUCGUAGAUAUUAGGAAGAACACCAGUGGCGAAGGCGGCUCACUGGUCCGGUACUGACGCUGAGGUGCGAGAGCGUGGGGAGCAAACAGGAUUAGAUACCCCUGUAGUCCCUGUCUCUUAUAC